rnacentral:rRNA from 1 species
GACGAACGCUGGCGGCGUGCUUAACACAUGCAAGUCGAACGGAAAGGCCCUGCUUUUGUGGGGUGCUCGAGUGGCGAACGGGUGAGUAACACGUGAGUAACCUGCCCUUGACUUUGGGAUAACUUCAGGAAACUGGGGCUAAUACCGGAUAGGAGCUCCUGCUGCAUGGUGGGGGUGGGAAAGUUUCGGCGGUUGGGGAUGGACUCGCGGCUAAUCAGCUUGUUGGUGGGGUAGUGGCUUACCAAGGCUUUGACGGGUAGCCCGCAUGAGAGGGUGAACGGCCACCUUGGGACUGCGAUACGGCCCAGACUGCUACGGGAGGCAGCAGGGGGGAAUAUUGCACAAUGGGCGGAAGCCUGAUGCAGAAACGCCGCGUGCGGGAUGACGGCCUUCGGGUUGUAAACCGCUUUCGCCUGUGACGAAGCGUGAGUGACGGUAAUGGGUAAAGAAGCACCGGCUAACUACGUG